rnacentral:rRNA from 1 species
UACGGAGGGAGCUAGCGUUGUUCGGAAUUACUGGGCGUAAAGCGCACGUAGGCGGCUUUUUAAGUCAGGGGUGAAAUCCCGGGGCUCAACCCCGGAACUGCCCUUGAAACUGGAAAGCUAGAAUCUUGGAGAGGCGAGUGGAAUUCCGAGUGUAGAGGUGAAAUUCGUAGAUAUUCGGAAGAACACCAGUGGCGAAGGCGACUCGCUGGACAAGUAUUGACGCUGAGGUGCGAAAGCGCGGGGAGCAAACAGG